UUAGGGCUUCGAAUGAUGGGAACUCGUACCUGGACAUGUGGAAGAACGCCGUCGAUCGCGACAAGAAGACUGUUGAGUUCCAAAGAAUCACUGAAAGAGUGUCCGGAACCGACAAUGGUAAUGAUGCUGAUAAUGAUGGUGGUUGGAACAUGAAUUUGGAGAAGAAAAGCGAAGAUUUUAAGAAGAUUUUGGAUGUUUCCAAGGAGGAGAGGGACCGCACUCAGCGAAUGCAGGUCAUUGAUCGGGCCGCGGCAGCGAUUGCGGCUGCUCGUGCCAUACUGAAGGAGAGGCAGUCUGGAAAUGAUAAGGCAAAUGACGACGGAGCUAGUAGCAAUUUAACCCGUGAAAGCGGAGGCGGAGCGGAAAAUAAUCAAGACGCUUUAAAUAAUGGAAGCGUUUUUCCCUCUCCAUCUGAGACUUCUGGAAAUGGAGUACCUGGGCCAGAUUUUUGGUCUUGGACACCUCCUCCUGGUAUUGAGAAGACUCAAUAUGACGCUGACUUGUUGGAAGCUAAAAGAUCUUUGAUAUCUCCUAUUUUGGCAAGCCCUGUGGCAAUGAAAGAGCGAUGUUUGGAUUUUCUCAAUAUUCCACUUGAGAGUAAACUCUCAGAGAGUAGCUCCAACCCUCCUAUUCCUCCUUUGCAAUCACUGAUGGAGGUUAAAAAAGAAGAGGUCUCCAUAUCUAGUCCUGAUAUGCCUUCUCUAAAAGAGGAAGAGCAAGAACUUAAUCUUUUAUUUCAUGCACAUGAACUGGAAGCGGCUUAUGUUCUUGAUGAAGUUGAUGAUGAAUUUUCUGGAGUAGAUCCAAAUGGAUCGAGGUGGUGGAAGGAGACAGGAAUUGAGCAAAGACCUGAUGGUGUUAUUUGCAGGUGGACUAUGACCAGGGGUGCUAGUGCUGACCAAGAUGUUGAGUGGCAAGAGAAGUUUUGGGAAGCUUCUGAUGAGUUUGGUUAUAAGGAACUUGGUUCAGAGAAAUCAGGAAGAGAUGCUACUGGAAAUGUAUGGCGUGAGUAUUGGAGAGAAUCAAUGUGGCAGGAAUCUGGGCUUAUGCAUAUGGAGAAAACUGCAGACAAGUGGGGGAAGAAUGGAAGAGGUGAUGAGUGGAAAGAGGAAUGGUGGGAACAUUAUGAUGCCUCCAACCAAGCUGAGAAAUGGGCACAUAAGUGGUGCACUGUUGACCCAACCACACGGCUUGAGGCUGGUCAUGCUCAUGUAUGGCAUGAAAGGUGGGGUGAGAAGUAUGAUGGACAUGGUGGCACCAUAAAAUACACUGACAAAUGGGCUGAGCGAUGUGAGGGUGAUUGCUGGACAAAGUGGGGUGAUAAAUGGGAUGAACAUUUUGAUCCAAAUGGUCGCGGUGUCAAGCAAGGGGAGACGUGGUGGGAAGGUAAGCAAGGAGAACGGUGGAAUCGCACUUGGGGUGAGCGCCAUAAUGGUUCUGGAUGGGUUCACAAGUAUGGAAAGAGCAGCAGUGGGGAGCACUGGGACACACACGUGGCGCAGGAGACAUGGUACGAGAGAUUCCCACAUUUCGGUUUCUAUCACUGCUUUGAUAACUCAAUCCAGCUCCGGGAAGUUCCAAAGCCGUCUGACCGUCAUGAAGUUCUGAAGCCAUCUGACCUACAUUAAGCAUAAAUUUUGUGUUUUCUUCUAUAUGUUUUAUCAUCCAUUACUUUUCUGCCUUCAUUAAUUUAUAAUUCCUUGCAGACUGAACUAGUAUUGCACAUAAGUCACAGAAACCCUUUUUCAUGAAUUGCAUCAUAUUUUCUUUUGUCAAAAUAGCACAAUCUAGUAUUGCAUUUUCUCAUUGAAAUCUUUUUGUCCUGUGUCCUCUAAAUUCCAAUAUAUUUAUUUGCAAAUUAAUUUCUGAAACAGAUUUCAUUUUGUCAUCUGCCCUAGUAAAUUAGAGUAGGCGGGCAUUGAGUUAUGCUUAUGGCUGAUCUAUAGUUGAAUCGAGUAUUUUGAAAGGUGUGGGAUGAUUUGUUAGGGCAUAGGUUUAUUUACCAAUGUCAGUGCAAAAAUUGCAUGCGGUCUGCUAGAGGUGAUGGGUUGUACUUGAUGAAUGUACCUGAAAAACAAUUUCAGAAAUACCAUAUUUGGAAA
rnacentral:misc_RNA from 1 species